rnacentral:rRNA from 1 species
UACGGAAGGCAGUAGUGGGGAAUAUUGCACAAUGGGCGAAAGCCUGAUGCAGCUAUGCCGCGUGUAUGAAGAAGGCCUUAGGGUUGUAAAGUACUUUCAUCGGGGAGGAAAAACAAAACUAAUAAUUUUAUUUCUUGACGUUACCCGAAAAAGAAGCACCGGCUAACUCCGUGCCAGCAGCCGCGGUAAUACGGAGGGUGCUAGCGUUAAUCAGAAUUACUGGGCGUAAAGAGCACGUAGGUGGUUUUUUUAAGUCAGAUGUGAAAUCCCUGGGCUUAACCUGGAACUGCAUUUUGAAACUGAAAUACUAGAGUAUCGUAGAGGGAGGUAGAAUUCUAGGUGUAGCGGUGAAAUGCGUAGAUAUCUGGAGGAAUACCUGUGGCGAAAGCGGCCUCCUAAACGAAUACUGACACUGAGGUGCGAAAGCGUGGGGAGCAAACAGGGAUUAGAUACC